rnacentral:rRNA from 1 species
UACGAAGGGGGCUAGCGUUGUUCGGAAUUACUGGGCGUAAAGCGCACGUAGGCGGAUAUUUAAGUCAGGGGUGAAAUCCCAGAGCUCAACUCUGGAACUGCCUUUGAUACUGGGUGUCUUGAGUGUGAGAGAGGUAUGUGGAACUCCGAGUGUAGAGGUGAAAUUCGUAGAUAUUCGGAAGAACACCAGUGGCGAAGGCGACAUACUGGCUCAUUACUGACGCUGAGGCGCGAAAGCGUGGGGAGCAAACAGG